rnacentral:misc_RNA from 1 species
GCUACUCAGAAGUUUAUUGCAGAUGUGGCUACUGAUGCUCUCCAACAUUGCAAGGCAAGGCAGUCAACUAUUGUCAAGGACAAGAGAGAUAAGCAGCAAAAGGACAAACGCCUUACCUUGACAAUGGAUGAUCUUUCAAAAUCUCUACGAGAGUAUGGUGUUAACGUCAAACAUCAAGACUACUUUGCUGAUAGCCCGUCUGCCGGGUUAGAUCCUGCUUCAAGAGAGGAAUGAUGUAAUGCCUGCUAACAAAUCUCUGUGAUCACAUAAAUCUGAUGGUUUUAGGUCAUUGCGUUGUUGUCAUCCUCUUGAUUUCUCAAAAGCUAUAUAUCUGUUGGAGGAUACAACUCUUGACUACUAUGUAUCUCUAUACUUACCAAUGUUAACUGUAGUUGCCACCAUUGAUAGAUUUCUCGUUUCGAUAUUCCUUUCAUGGUAGCAAUGAGGGUGAUGUUGAUAACUGGUUUGAAUGUUUAAAUUUGCUUUGAACUUG